UUAUUGAUAAUAAUUUUAGGUYUGACCUGCCCAAUGAUAUAAUUAAAUGGCUGCGGUAUCUCGACCGUACAAAGGUAGCAUAAUCAUUAGUUUUAUAAUUGAAAGCUUGUAUGAAAGGUUUGAUGAAAGAAUUUCUGUCUCUAUUCAAAUUUAUUGGAAAUUUAUUUUUAAGUAAAAAAGCUUAAAUAUUUAUAGAAGACGAGAAGACCCUAUAGAGUUUUAUAUUUAUAUGUGUAUAGUUUUAUUAGGAUAAAAGAAUUAUAUUAGUAAAAAUAUUUGGUUGGGGUGAUUAAAAAAUUAAAGUAACUUUUUUUGUAUAAGAUCAUAAAUUUAUGAAUAUUUGAUCCUUAAAUAAAGAUUAAAAGAUAAAAUUACCUUAGGGAUAACAGCGUUAUUUUUUUCUAGAGUUCUAAUCGAAAGAAAAGAUUGCGACCUCGAUGUUGGAUUAAAAAAAAAUAUUGGUGUAGAAGCUAAUAUAUUAGGUCUGUUCGACCUUUUAAAUUUUACAUGAUCUGAGUUUAAACCGGUGUGAGCCAGGUCGGU
rnacentral:rRNA from 1 species